rnacentral:rRNA from 1 species
GUCUAUGGCCAUACCACCCUGAAUGUACCUGAUCUCGUCUGAUCUCAGAUGCUAAGCAGGGUCGGGCCUGGUUAGUACUUGUAUGGGAGAUGAGAGAGAGAGAUCUUGAACCAGGAUC